GAUGAAGAACGUAGCGAAAUGCGAUAAGUAAUGUGAAUUGCAGAAUUCAGUGAAUCAUCGAGUCUUUGAACGCACAUUGCGCCCCCUGGUAUUCCGGGGGGCAUGCCUGUCCGAGCGUCAUUGCCGCCCUCAAGCACGGCUUGUGUGUUGGGCCCCCGCCCCCCGGCUUCGGGGGGCGGGCCCGAAAGGCAGCGGCGGCACCGCGUCCGGUCCUCGAGCGUAUGGGGCUUCGUCACCCGCUCUGUAGGCCCGGCCGGCGCUUGCCGACACAUCAAUCUUUUUUCCAGGUUGACCUCGGAUCAGGUAGGGAUACCCGCUGAACUUAAGCAUAUCAAUAAGCGGAGGA
rnacentral:misc_RNA from 1 species